CAAACUCCAUGCAGAAAGACCCCCGGCCAGGAAUCAAACCCAGGACCUUCUUGCUGCAAGGCAACAGUGCUACCAACUGCGCCACCGUGAAUUCUUAUUCAAUUGAGCCAAAAAGAAUUUGCAAACCGGAUGACAUUCUCUUUUAACAAAAGCAAAGGUGCAAAAAGCCUUUGGAUCUACAACGAUUACCGAAUUCUUUUCCAGCAAUUGGCUAGUUUAUUUAUUUAAAAUAUUGUGGGCUUAGUUUAUUGUUGAUCCGCAAUAUAUAUUUUUUUCAGAUUUUAGUAUUGGAAUUUAUUUUUUUGUCCAUCGAGUAGCCUAUUUUUGAGUCAACGAUUUUGACCCGUGUGAUUAAAAAGUUUGGACACCACUGGUCUAAGCAGUACAAGUAAAACCUGAUGCUAUAUACUUGCUGCAAGCCUGUAAUGGAAGAGACGUGUGCAAUGUGCAUCCGCCUCUAACAUUACUUCCAGUAGGCGUUUCCACAAAUACAGUUCAGGGCCACUACGCAGCAUUUUGCAGCAGGUUGGCUCCUGUCCAGCAGCUACGGAGCAGCUGCUAACUUUACCUUGUGAUAAUGGACCUCAGGCUGAGUGCUCGGAACAGGAACAGCGGUCCCAUAAUAACAGACUGAGGGCCGGGGCAUGCGGGGAACAAGCCGGGAAAGCACGGUGUGGAGCAUGCUGAGUCUUCCUGCACGGAGCAAACCACACAAUAAUGCACCAGCUCCCAUGCAACCCUGUACGGAAGAAUCAGUUAUAAAAAAUGGAUAGAUGGACGAUUACCCUCUCCAGUAUUGGAUGCUUUGCUGACAUAUUUUUACUUUUGGACAUUUUCUAUGAUGCUUCACUAUAGCAAUAAUGUGCUUUUUUUUUUUUUUUACAACCGGGGGCCUCUGAUUAUUAUCUUAAAAGAUUAAAUAGUACUUCAACUACAACCCCAAAUCCCUGAUAAGUUGAAAAGGAGGCGCUGUGGAUGCAGAGCAGGAGCAAAGAAAAGAGAGAGAAGGAGGAAGUUCAAACCAUCUCUUUCGUCGAUCC